rnacentral:rRNA from 1 species
AACUUUCAACAACGGAUCUCUUGGUUCUGGCAUCGAUGAAGAACGCAGCAAAAUGCGAUAAGUGAUGUGAAUUGCAGAAUUCAGUGAAUCAUCGAAUCUUUGAACGCACAUUGCGCCCGCCAGUAUUCUGGCGGGCAUGCCUGUUCGAGCGUCAUUUCA